AGCGAACGCUGGCGGCAGGCCUAACACAUGCAAGUCGUACGAACCCUUCGGGGUUAGUGGCGGACGGGUGAGUAACACGUGGGAACGUGCCUUUAGGUUCGGAAUAACUCAGGGAAACUUGUGCUAAUACCGAAUGUGCCCUUCGGGGGAAAGAUUUAUCGCCUUUAGAGCGGCCCGCGUCUGAUUAGCUAGUUGGUGAGGUAAUGGCUCACCAAGGCUACGAUCAGUAGCUGGUCUGAGAGGAUGACCAGCCACAUUGGGACUGAGACACGGCCCAAACUCCUACGGGAGGCAGCAGUGGGGAAUCUUGCGCAAUGGGCGAAAGCCUGACGCAGCCAUGCCGCGUGGAUGAUGAAGGUCUUAGGAUUGUAAAAUCCUUUCACCGGUGAAGAUAAUGACUGUAGCCGGAGAAGAAGCCCCAGCUAACUUCGUGCCAGCCGCCGCCGUAACAC
rnacentral:rRNA from 1 species